UGAGUGAUGAAGGCCUUCGGGUUGUAAAGCUCUUUCGCACGUGACGAUGAUGACGGUAACGUGAGAAGAAGCCCCGGCUAACUUCGUGCCAGCAGCCGCGGUAAAACGAAGGGGGCUAGCGUUGUUCGGAAUUACUGGGCGUAAAGGGCGCGUAGGCGGUUUAUCAAGUCAGGCGUGAAAGCCCCGGGCUUAACCUGGGAACUGCGCUUGAGACUGUGAGACUAGAG
rnacentral:rRNA from 1 species